rnacentral:ncRNA from 1 species
ACAGAACGCACGGGGUGCUGGAAUUUAUUCCGGCUGAGAUCAUACCCGAAACCUGAUUUGGAUAAUGCCAACGUAGGGAUGCAGGCCGGAAUUCCA